GAUGAACGCUAGCGGCAGGCUUAAUACAUGCAAGUCGUGGGGCAGCAUGAAGUAGCAAUACUUUGAUGGCGACCGGCAAACGGGUGCGGAACACGUACACAACCUUCCUUUUAGUGGGGAAUAGCCCAGAGAAAUUUGGAUUAAUACCCCGUAACAUCGCGAUGAGGCAUCUCAUUGCUAUUAUAGCUUCGGCGCUAGAUGAUGGGUGUGCGUAUGAUUAGAUAGUUGGCGAGGUAACGGCUCACCAAGUCUACGAUCAUUAGCUGAUGUGAGAGCAUGAUCAGCCACACGGGCACUGAGACACGGGCCCGACUCCUACGGGAGGCAGCAGUAAGGAAUAUUGGUCAAUGGACGAAAGUCUGAACCAGCCAUGCCGCGUGGAGGAUUAAGGUCCUCUGGAUUGUAAACUUCUUUUAUAUGGGACGAAAAAAGGUCUUUCUAGAUCACUUGACGGUACCAUAUGAAUAAGCACCGGCUAACUCCGUGCCAGCCGCCGCGGUAAUAC
rnacentral:rRNA from 1 species